rnacentral:lncRNA from 1 species
AUCAAGAAAACCUUUUUUCCAAAACAAGUUCUCAUAUCUAAAACAUAUCUUCUCUUUUCAAGCUACCUCUUCCUUAGUUGAAUUCUCCAAUAUUCUUCACAGACUAUGCCACGGGAACCAUACUCAUAGCCGUGAUGAUUUAAUUACACGCCUAAAGAAAACGACGAUGUUCACAAUUGUUUUCCUUACUUUGAGAUGAAGCAUGAAAGGUUAAGAUGUAUGCUAUGAUUUGUGGUAGUUAAUAUCUCAAUUAAGAGAAACUGGGCUCAAUGCUCAUCUUCUAAAUCGUCUUAUGGUGUAAUCCAUCGGAACAAUAUGAGUCUUUUCAUAUUUUGAAGACACCCAAAGAUUACAAACGGUCAAAUUCAAGAAAGAGUUAGAAAAACGAGAUGGUGUUAGUCUUGCAUAUACAGCGGUGAAUCCAAUUGAAUCCCCUAUGCUACUGGAUAAAAUUAUUCGGGUCUAUAUCCAUCAAAUUAUAGGUCCAGGUAUAUACCUUAUUACCGUGAGGUCAUGACCUCAAUUGCAAUUGUAACCACAAAUUGACAAGUAGCCAGUAUUUUGGGUCUUUAAUGGAAGCAUUUUUCUAGGCAAAUAAUCAAAAUUGACAUCAAUUGUAAAUUUGAAUCGCAGAGGAAACAAAAAGACUCAGCAAUUAUAACCUUUACAUGAUAUCAUGAUUAAAAUAAAUUUUUAUCCAAAUCCAAACUUUAUACUACAAGCGAACCAACCUGUAAACAUACAUCAUUUAAAAACCUGCUUUUGAAUUACACAAAUAGCCUAAACACACAAAGUUGACUGUUAAAAUCUCUUACGUAUCAUUCUCAAAGGGGAUACCAGACAUAAAAAUUGCUCCUAGACUCCUAGUAUAAGUACAAUUCAUCUAAAGUGAGAUACAAGACUGAACAAAGAUAACAUCAUUUUUAGAUUUAGCUUUCUCAUCACCAAGGAUUUCAACCCCCACUUUUGACUUCGAAACAUUAUUGAUCUGUCCAAUUUAAAGGUCAAGUUUGCAAAACACAGCCACAUACUCA